rfam:Oreochromis niloticus linkage group LG12, whole genome shotgun sequence.
GGGGGUGUAGCUCAGUGGUAGAGCAUUUGACUGCAGAUCAAGAGGUCUCUGGUUCAAAUCUGGAUGCUCCCU